rnacentral:rRNA from 1 species
ACAGCAGUCGCCACGGUAAUACGUAGGUGGCAAGCGUUGUCCGGAUUUAUUGGGCGUAAAGCGAGCGCAGGCGGUUAGAUAAGUCUGAAGUUAAAGGCUGUGGCUUAACCAUAGUACGCUUUGGAAACUGUUUAACUUGAGUGCAAGAGGGGAGAGUGGAAUUCCAUGUGUAGCGGUGAAAUGCGUAGAUAUAUGGAGGAACACCGGUGGCGAAAGCGGCUCUCUGGCUUGUAACUGACGCUGAGGCUCGAAAGCGUGGGGAGCAAACAGGAUUAGAUACCCCCGUAGUCCCUGUCUCUUAUACA